rnacentral:rRNA from 1 species
AGCGAACGCUUGCGGCAGGCCUAACACAUGCAAGUCGAGCGCCGUAGCAAUACGGAGCGGCAGACGGGAGAGUAACACGUGGGAACGUACCCUUUGGUUCGGAACAACCCAGGGAAACUUGGGCUAAUACCGGAUAAGCCCUUACGGGGAAAGAUUUAUCGCCGAAGGAUCGGCCCGCGUCUGAUUAGCUAGUUGGUGGGGUAACGGCUCACCAAGGCGACGAUCAGUAGCUGGUCUGAGAGGAUGAUCAGCCUCACUGGGACUGAGACACGGCCCAGACUCCUACGGGAGGCAGCAGUGGGGAAUAUUGGACAAUGGGCGCAAGCCUGAUCCAGCCAUGCCGCGUGGGUGAUGAAGGCCCUAGGGUUGUAAAGCCCUUUCGGCGAGGAAGAUAAUGACGGUACCCGCAGAAGAAGCCCCGGCUAACUUCGUGCCAGCCGCCGCAGUAAGAC